rnacentral:lncRNA from 1 species
GGCGUGUGACGGAAUGACGUCACUGUUUUCUUCCGGCGCAGACGCAGGCAGGACCGAGUCCGAGCUGAAUCGAUCGGUUCUGAUACAAAGUGCCGUUAUGGACCUUCAUACACUUUACUUCAUAAACUCGUUUCAAGGAAUUAUUGUCGAGGCAUCAGAGAACGUUUAGAAAGGAGCCGCCAUGUUGGUGCUGUGUAAAGUCAAGAGACACGAGAGAGAAGAUGAUCCUGCUGCUCCUCAUCCUCACCUCCUCAGCAGCAGCACUUGAAGUGAAGGAGACACAGAGCUCCUAUCAGGCAGAGGAGAACCACAACAUCACACUGGAGUGGACGUUCCCUACUGACAGUGCCUCCAAUAGACUUUCUAUUUUCUGUGAACUGAUUGUUGAUCAUAAAUACUUUGUCCUGUAUGAUGUCUAUGCUGGAGAGGAGAAGCCAGACUCUCAGCAUAAACGUUUUUCAGGAAGAGUCCAGAGUGACACAGACGCCCUCAGAGAAGGACGAAUCAGACUUCAUCUGUCCAGACUCAGGACUGAAGACUCUGGUCUGUAUGUGUGUGAUGUGAGGACAGCUUCUGGUUCUGGUUCUUCCAGCUGUGAGCUCACAGUCUCUGCAGCUGCUGCUCAGACACACACUGACAGACCAGCUCUGAGUCCAGCUCUGAGUCCACCAGCAGACACAGGAGGACGGACAAGGCAGCGUUAUGGACUGAUAGCAGCAGGAUCUGUACUGAUCAUCAGUGUGGUUUUAUUUUUUUUAUUAACAAAAGAGUAAAAGUAACUAAUUCUGACAAAACCUCCACUUCCUCUGGAGGUUCCUCCAACAUCUUAUUAACAGAAGAAAAUAUCACAGCUUUGAGGAAAAAACAUCUGGAUCGCCCCCCUGGUGGCUGGCUGCAGUACAGGUCAGAAACCUGAUAGUGGAAGUGACAAGGACCCAACUGAAAGCUAAAAGUACUCUUAUGAAGACACCUGUAAAAUUGUAGACGUGGAACGGUGGUUCGUCCGUUGGUGGAACGGUGAUGAUGUGGCUUCACAUCUUGACCUCUUCUGCACUGACUGUGGUUCCAACAUGGUGGCUCCCAUUGAGAUAAACACACAGUGUGUGCUCUGCUUCUGCAGGAUGGAUGGAUUUCCGUGGAUCUUGGAAGGAUCUAGAAACUGAUGUGAUGAUGAUUUUACAUGAGAGUUCAUGUUAAAUGGAGGUCACAGUUGAUGUUCACCUGGGCAGCAUUUUGAAUGAUGUCAUAAAUAUACUUUCAUUUUUUUGGUUUUUCUGUUGUCUGAAUGCUAAUGGUUCAUACUUCCUGUCUUCUAUGUGGGCGAAUGAAUUUAUAUGUCUAUAAUUAUUGUUAGCAUUUUUAUGUUCUUUUGCUAACAUUAGAUAUUUACACAGCUGGCAUCACAAAAACAUGUGACAAUGUGAUGCUAAACGGAGCUGCUAGCUGUGUGAAUAAUGUUAGCAAGAGAACAUAAAAAUAAAGACUGAUUUUGUCAAAUGUGAUUUUUGUGG